rnacentral:rRNA from 1 species
GGAGCUAAUACGGAUAAUAUAUUGAACCGCAUGGUUCAAUAGUGAAAGACGGUUUUGCUGUCACUUAUAGAUGGAUCCGCGCUGCAUUAGCUAGUUGGUAAGGUAACGGCUUACCAAGGCAACGAUGCGUAGCCGACCUGAGAGGGUGAUCGGCCACACUGGAACUGAGACACGGUCCAGACUCCUACGGGAGGCAGCAGAC